rnacentral:rRNA from 1 species
AUGACUGGUUUAUCAUGGAAGCUAAGCUAUGGAUUUCAAUUGGAGGAGGAAGGCCGAUGGGAUGGACUUUUUCAUACUCGUGUUGUGGUACAAGAGAGAUCGUGUGCUAUGACAAUCGAUCACAUGAGUUUGAUCAACGCGGCAAGCAUCGAGAUGGUGGAGAAGUUGGAACUACCGACGACACCACGCCCACAACCAUACUCGUUCCGUUGGUGUCAUGAAGAGCUCAGUGUCACACAUCAGACCGAGGUACCGUUUUUGUUGGGAAAAUAUUUUUGCACGGUUUUGUGUGACGUGAUACCGGCACCGAUGGUUUCAUGUCAUUUAUUGUUAGGCAAGCCAUGGUACAAAGAGCACGAUGUUGCCUAUGAUUGUCAAACACACAUAUAUACUGUCAAGAAGGGUAAGAAGUACGACCUUUAUUAG